GCCCCCCACUUCUCCCCCGGCCCGGCCCCCAAAGUUGGCCAAGUUGGCAGCGCCUUACCCGGGAGGGCGGCGGCGGCAGCGUCCCCGGGGGCGCCGAGGAGGCCGAUGUGCAGACCCCCGAGGAGCAGGACGCAGCGCAGCAGGUCACCACAGCGCAGAGCACUGGAUUGGGAGUCAGGAUGUUGGAGUCUAGCCCCAGCUCUACCUCUGAUUCUUUGAGCAACUCUGGAAAGUCGCUUGGAAUCUCUGGGCUCAGAGGAGGACUGAGACAUUUAGAAACCCUAAAUGCAAAGGAGAUUCACGUUCCCUCGCCACGGGUCAUCAAAUAAAAACACUAUGAAACUG